ACCAGACUCCUACGGGAGGCAGCAGUGGGGAAUAUUGCACAAUGGGGGGAACCCUGAUGCAGCGACGCCGCGUGGGUGAAGAAGCGCCUCGGCGCGUAAAGCCCUGUCAGCAGGGAAGAAAAUGACGGUACCUGAAGAAGAAGCCCCGGCUAACUACGUGCCAGCAGCCGCGGUAAUACGUAGGGGGCAAGCGUUAUCCGGAUUUACUGGGUGUAAAGGGGGCGCAGACGGCGAUGCAAGCCAGGAGUGAAAGCCCGGGGCCCAACCCCGGGACUGCUCUUGGAACUGCGUGGCUGGAGUGCAGGAGGGGCAGGCGGAAUUCCUGGUGUAGCGGUGAAAUGCGUAGAUAUCAGGAGGAACACCGGUGGCGAAGGCGGCCUGCUGGACUGCAACUGACGUUGAGGCCCGAAAGCGUGGGGAGCAAACAGGAUUAGAUACCCGCGUA
rnacentral:rRNA from 1 species